rnacentral:rRNA from 1 species
CCUACGGGUGGCAGCAGUGGGGAAUAUUGCACAAUGGGGGAAACCCUGAUGCAGCGACGCCGCGUGAGUGAAGAAGUAAUUCGUUACGUAAAGCUCUAUCAGCAGGGAAGAAAAUGACGGUUCCUGAGUAAGAAGCCCCGGCCAACAACGUGCCAGGAGCCGCGGUAAUACGUAGGGGGCAAGCGUUAUCCGGAUUUACUGGGUGUAAAGGGAUCGUAGAUGGUGCGCCAAGUCUGGAGGGAAAUGCCGCAGGUUAAAUGCGGAACUGCUUUGGAAACUGGCGAACUAGAGUGCGAGAGGGGUAAGCGGAAUUCCAAGUGUAGCGGUGAAAUGCGUAGAUAUUAGGAGGAACACCGGUGGCGAAGGCAGCUUACUGGACCGUAACUGACGUUGAGGCACGAAAGCGUGGGGAGCAAACAGGAUUAGAUACCCGGGUAGUC